UACGUAGGCAGCAAGCGUUGUUCGGAGUUACUGGGCGUAAAGGGUGCGUAGGUGGCUCUAUAAGUAUGGUGUGAAAUCUCCCGGCUUAACUGGGAGGGUGCGCCGUAGACUGUGGGGUUAGAGUGUGGGAGAGGAAAGUGGAAUUCCUGGUGUAGCGGUGAAAUGCGUAGAUAUCAGGAGGAACACCGGUGGUGUAAACGGCUUUCUUGGACCAUAACUGACACUGAGGCACGAAAGCGUGGGUAGCAAACAGG
rnacentral:rRNA from 1 species